GAUUAACGCUAGCGGCAGGCCUAAUACAUGCAAGUCGAACGGUAACAGGUGUAGCAAUACAUGCUGACGAGUGGCGCACGGGUGCGUAACACGUAUGCAACCUACCUAUAACUGGGGAAUAGCCUUCCGAAAGGAAGAUUAACACCGCAUAACAUCACGAAACGGCAUCGUUUUGUGAUCAAACCUCCGGGGGUUAUAGAUGGGCAUGCGUAACACUAGCUAGUUGGUGAGGUAAUGGCUCACCAAGGCUACGAUGUUUAGGGGGUCUGAGAGGAUGAUCCCCCACACUGGUACUGAGACACGGACCAGACUCCUACGGGAGGCAGCAGUAAGGAAUAUUGGACAAUGGGGGCAACCCUGAUCCAGCCAUGCCGCGUGAAGGAUGAAGGCCCUCUGGGUUGUAAACUUCUUUUGUACGGGAAUAAACCCCUUUACGUGUAGAGGGUUGAAUGUACCGUAAGAAUAAGGAUCGGCUAACUUCGUGCCAGCAGCCGCGGUAAUAC
rnacentral:rRNA from 1 species